rnacentral:rRNA from 1 species
CUUCCGUAGGUGAACCUGCGGAAGGAUCAUUACUGAGUGAGGGCCCUCCGGGUCCAACCUCCCACCCGUGUUUAUUCGUACCUUGUUGCUUCGGCAGGCCCGCCUCACGGCCGCCGGGGGGCCUCCGCCCCCGGGCCCGCGCCUGCCGGAGACAAUCUGAACGCUGUCUGAAGAAUGCAGUCUGAGCGAUUAGCUAAAUUAGUUAAAACUUUCAACAACGGAUCUCUUGGUUCCGGCAUCGAUGAAGAACGCAGCGAAAUGCGAUAAUUAAUGUGAAUUGCAGAAUUCAGUGAAUCAUCGAGUCUUUGAACGCACAUUGCGCCCCCUGGUAUUCCGGGGGGCAUGCCUGUCCGAGCGUCAUUGCUGCCCUCAAGCACGGCUUGUGUGUUGGGCCUCCGUCCCCCCGGGGACGGGCCCGAAAGGCAGCGGCGGCACCGCGUCCGGUCCUCGAGCGUAUGGGGCUUUGUCACCCGCUCUGUAGGCCCGGCCGGCGCCUGCCGACACCCAUCAACCCUUCUUCAGGUUGACCUCGGAUCAGGUAGGGAUACCCGCUGAACUUAAGCAUAUCAAUAA